GGCGGCAGGAAGAGAAGCGGAGCUGGCGCUGGCUGAUCCCAUUUGCUGCGGCGCCUACAGUCACUUCCAUCCGGAGACUCGGCUCGGCCGGGAACGCUCUGCGUUCGCCUUCUCCUUGGCUCGCCCUUCUAAAAGGCUCCGAGUUCCCUCCCUUCCCUCUCGCACCGCGGCCGGCCUCUUUCCGGGCGCCCGAGGCCAGCUCAACAUUCUCUCCAGAACCCCGGCCUCGGCAUGCGGACGCGUCCUACUAGACGGCCCGUCCGGCCCACACGCAGCCUCGCCAGUCUCCCUGCCCCGGGCCCGUGCUCGCUGCCCCCAGCCUGGUCCGCGAAGCCCUUACCCGCCAGCGGCUGGAUGUGUCGCGCUCCCUGCGGACAUGGCGGCCUGCUCCAGUCAACCACCCGCCAACUACCCACCACCGCCCUCCCGCCACUUCCGCCCAACGCGCUGACGCACGGCCUCUUCCGGCCGUGAGGUAAGGCGGGUCCGGUGAGGACUCUUGAUUCCGAUUGGACCCUCGGUGAUUUAAAGCGUCUGGCGUCUCAGUGACAGGAGUGCCUGCCUGUCGACUCUCCGGCUUGCUCUCUUGCCCUUAAUAAAAAUGGUUGUUGGGCCUGGUUUAAAAGCGAGUUGCGGGCUAGGAAAAUCCAUUUUUAUUGUGGGCAAGCGAGUUGCCUGGAAGACAAGUCAGAAAAUGAAGCCGACUUUCUCCGCGUUCUCUUUGCUCACGUGGAGUCCCAGCCUGUAGCGGAGGAGAACCCUGCCGGCGACUUCAGCGCACUUCUCCAUUCAGCUUAUGAAAAAAGGAAAUGAUUCUUUCCAAAGUCAUUUGCACAACUUCCUUUUCUUUCUUUCUCUUUUUGUUUUGUUUUGGGUCCCCCCCACCCACCCACCCUUAGGGAUAGGAAGCUCCAGUCAGCCCGCUGCAUGGGGGGGGCUGUUCAGGUGGCCAUGAGCAAAAACAUUGGUUUUGGUAAAAUCGUAAGCACUUGGACAACUUGUUAUAAAACAAGUAAAGUUGGAGAAAAACUGCUCAGCGAGGUGGAGCUUUUAAAAAAAACGAAGCCAGGGACUGAGAGCCCUGCAGACGAAGGUGCUAGUAGACAAACAACGAUGUAAGUUAGAUCCCUGGAGCACACAAGGAAAGUUGCUCUCUGAUCUAAGAACUGUCAUGAUGGAGAUUAAAAAUCAAAAGUU
rnacentral:lncRNA from 1 species